rfam:Corvus brachyrhynchos isolate BGI_N302 unplaced genomic scaffold scaffold101, whole genome shotgun sequence.
GAUAAGGCCUUCUUCAAGGCCACAGAAUAAUGUAGAGGCAUAAUUG